CUCAGGGUCACCGACGCUGCUAUUGGCGUAGCCAUUAGCAUGCCCAUUGGUGGCAUCUGACUGCCAGUGUCCAACAUGCAACGGCUUAUCGUGAGAGAGUGCUUCGCCAACACAAUGGUCUGUGAUGAUCUUCCUCAGAUGCUGGAUCUCUCGCUCAGAAUCAAAUAUAUCUCGGUUAGCAGACUCCAGCUGAGACUGCAAAUUAGACGACUGCUUCUCCUGGAUGGCAAGAGAGUUCUUAAGAUCCUGACUCUGAAACACGUGGGGAGCCAGAACUGUUUGAGUACUGAAAUGGUUUACGAGGAUCUUCAAGGCGGUCAGGUGAUGAUAUCCACAUGACGCCACUGUUGUCCUUGCUUGAUUCUUGCACUGGUAUUUUCACAAGUGGAAGCGAGGGUUCAGCUGAUUUUGAUGGACUUGCAGGAGGAUGCUUGACUUCCACUCCACCAUCUGAAUGCCCUGCACAUUACAAUCAGCAUUUAAUAUUUUCAACGUUUUGGAAAAGCUGUUACACCAUGAAGAAAGGGUUGGGUUUCAAACGCCAAAUUAAGGCGCCAAACUAAUGAUACAAUGUGACCAAGAUCCCGGUGCUCAACAGCUAAUAGGGAAGUCGAAUCUAUGACAAUCAUAGAUAUUCGAGAGUAAGGAGGAAGAAAGGCGACCACCAAGGUGGGGGCGUGCUGUGCAGUGUUUGUUAUGACUGCAAAGCAACACGUGAAAACAAAUGGACUACUGUCAUUAGGGACCUACCUAGCAGCUACACAGCUGGCGGAGAGGCUCUGAGAGUGUCCUGUAUCCACCGGGAUUGAGGCUUUAUCUUGAUACAAUACUCAUAUGACAAAGCUAGCAAUGCAACUACCCAACCCCACUAAAUGUCUGUCGUUUGCAAGACAAUGUACUGCACAUGAAAGACAAAGGAGGGUGCAGGUUUACGAUAACUUGUCAGUUGUAGUUCUGAAAAUAAAUUAAAUAUCCUUAGAUUUGUAGGUUGUACUAGCCAAGAACUUGUUUGGCUGGUUAGUGGUUACAGCAGAAUGAUUUUGCUCUAAGCUGUACUCCCUCUGUAAACUAAUAUAAGACAUUUUAGGUCACUACUUUAGUGACAAAAAAGUCUUAUAUUUUAAAUUUUUUAUGGGGAAAACGUCUUAUAUUAGUUUGCAGAGGGAGUACUUCUGAAAGUAAAUCAAAUAUCCUUAGAU